CCACCACGCCUGGCCCCUUUCACAACUUCUUAUAAGGAUGCCAUAUGGGAGUAGUAUUAGCUCUGAAAAUGAUAAUGUUUAAAGUAUGGGUGAAGACAGAGGAGCCAGCAGAAAUAGAAAGAUCAGUCAGCGAAGUAGGAGACCCGGGGAGUUAUGUCCUGGAAUCCCAGGAAGGCAAGGAGAGGACAGUGAAUUGAAUUAAAAGCUGCAGAAAGUCAAGUAAGAUUGGUUUUGGCAACUGGGUUACAGGCAACCUUAGAGAGGGCAGUUUUAGUGGAAGGGAAGGGUGGGCAGAAGCCACAUCGUAAUGAGUUGAGAGGGAGGUAAAUAUUAGGGAAGCUCUUUGGGGAGAAAGGGUAAAUUUGUGUCUACUGGAGGAUGAGAGGAAGGAACCAGUACAGAUGAGAGAUUAAAUAUGUGUCAGAGAGGAUACAAUUGCAAGAGUAAGAGCUCAGGAGGAGAUGGAAUCACUGGGGAAGGUGGAGGGGACCAGUUUUACAGCUAUUGCCACCCUUUCCAUACUGGCGAUUACAUUUCUCCACCCCAUGCCCAGAGAUUUCUAUCAUCAUCUCUUUGCUGGCCUCCUGCUCUGUCCUCAUCAUCAGGGUGGCACCCUUAUUACCAGAUUUCCACCCAGCAAUUCACACCCAUGCACUCAGCCCCCAUAUGGGCAUGGUGAGGAGGUACAGAAUAAAACCGGUUUCCCAGUGGGUUACCCCCAAAUGACCUACCCAGGAAGACAUUUCUCCAAGAAGAAAAUUCUGUGUUCUAUCCUUCUUAUUCCAGCCAGAAGAGAUGUUGUACAGCCCGGUGACACCUCGUGGGACAAAGCAACCAGAAACAGAAUUCUAGUGCAGUGGCUCAUGCCUACCACUUUGGGAGGUCAAGGAGGCAGAUCACUCGAAUCCAGGAGUUCAAGACCAGCCUGGGCAACAUGGUGAAACCGAUAGUGACAGGAGGCAGUCAAAUGCCUAGGCAGAUAGGGGUGGGUCCCCGGUGAAAUCCCACCUUCAAGCCAAAGACAGUUUAAAGCCUGAAAGCCAAGCUACAAGUCUUGGAUGAAUCCAUGGACUGGAUUGAGAACCCCUCUUCCUGUUUGGCAUGGUUUCCUCUGACUGAGCCCCAUCCUUCACCUAAUUUACAUAUACCUACCCUUCCCUAAUUGAUUUUUGACACUGUUGUGCCUUUGUUUCAGCCUUUUUGCCAUACCCACAAACCAAUCAGCACACGCUGCCCCAUUCUGAGCCCAUAAAAGCCCCGGACCCAGCCACACUGGGAGAGAGACCACCCAACUUCAGGUGGCAGACCAUUCUCGCAUUCCCUCUCUAUUGAGAGAUAUUUCAUUGCUCAAUAAAACUCUUCUCCGCCCUCCUCA